rnacentral:rRNA from 1 species
CCUACGGGUGGCUGCAGUCGAGGAUCUUCGGCAAUGGGGGCAACCCCGACCGAGCGAUGCCGCGUGCGCGACGAAGGCCUUCGGGUUGUAAAGCGCUGUCGGGGGGGAGAAAGGGAAACUUGAUCGAUCCCCGGAGGAAGCUCGGGCUAAGUUCGUGCCAGCAGCCGCGGUAAGACGAACCGAGCGAACGUUGUUCGGAAUUACUGGGCUUAAAGGGCGCGUAGGCGGGCGGCCGCGUCCGGGGUGAAAUCCCGCCGCUCAACGGCGGGACGGCC